GAUGAACGCUGGCGGCGUGCCUAAUACAUGCAAGUCGAGCGAACAGACGAGGAGCUUGCUCCUCUGACGUUAGCGGCGGACGGGUGAGUAACACGUGGAUAACCUACCUAUAAGACUGGGAUAACUUCGGGAAACCGGAGCUAAUACCGGAUAAUAUAUUGAACCGCAUGGUUCAAUAGUGAAAGACGGUUUUGCUGUCACUUAUAGAUGGAUCCGCGCCGCAUUAGCUAGUUGGUAAGGUAACGGCUUACCAAGGCAACGAUGCGUAGCCGACCUGAGAGGGUGGUCGGCCACCCUGGAACGGAGACACGGUCCAGACUCCUACGGGAGGCAGCAGUAGGUAAUCUUCCGCAAUGGGCGAAAGCCUGACGGAGCAACGCCGCGUGAGUGAUGAAGGUCUUCGGAUCGUAACUCUGUUAUUAGGGAAGAACAAAUGUGUAAGUAACUAUGCACGUCUUGACGGUACCUAAUCAGAAAGCCACGGCUAACUACGUG
rnacentral:rRNA from 1 species